AACGCUCCGUUCACUUGCAUGGGCCCUUCACAACUUAAUUCACCGGCGGUGAAUUAUAUUUGAUAAUUCACUUUUGCUUAGUUGGAAUAAUCAUGAGUAUAAUUGACCGCUGUCAAGGAAAACAACGUUUUUUUCGCCUCUAAUGACUGCUUUUGUAUCACUCCACAAGUACCGGUACCUUUUCAACCCCAGCGUCUUCGGUUGCUAAGCGACAUCAAUGCCUUUGGCGGACUAUUUCUCUGAACAACACUAGGAAUGCUGGUAACAAAUAAAUUAUAAAAAGACGCACCAUGUGAAGUUAUUUUUUCGUUUUGGCAAGUAGCCGUGUAAUAAUGAAGAUAAUGUAUAGAACAUCGCCGGUCAUUAUCGAAAAUAAGCCCCCGAAAGCAAGACACCUCUGCUGCGCGUCGGUGUCCUGUUCGCCUUGUCGGGGCUUAUUUUCCCGAUAAUGACCGGUGUUCUAUACAUCAUCCCUUACAUGCCUUUUGUAGGCGCGUUGAGAGGAGGAGCGGGCGUAUCCGCUGCCAGUGCGUGUGCAUGUAUGAUACGCAGGUUUGUCCAAUAAGUGGUAGUGUACCCGCGCACCAUUGGCAUGUAUGCCCGCUUGUCUCUGUGUGCAUGUGUGAACGAGAAUGACAGGGUGAAAGAGUGCUAUGUGGAGAUGAAUGAACGGAACGAUAUUUAUGGUAAAAAAUCACAAAAAAAAAAAAAGCUGAACAAAUUUGGCGCUCUGUGUUCAAUCUGUGGCGCUGCGCCACAUCGGUCUAUGUAUGGGAAACACUGGGUUUAGGGCCUGUUACUAGUGUUAUUUGUUCCUGUUGGAUCGUUUGAUGUCUGGUUAUAUGAUCAGCAUAUUGUACGUUAUAUGGUUGUCCUAACUGCAUGAAAUGUGU